UAGGAUGUUCCAAGAAGAAGAUGGAAAACAGGGGUAUAAAUUUGGGAAGUUUUAGGUGGUUCAUGAUGGUCAAAGUGGAAAGUGCUUCUGAAGAAUAUUAGAAGAUGAAACCCAAGAGGCAUCAUGUAUGGAAUUCCUCCAGUGAAAACUGAGGCCUCAUGUCUCUGUGGUACCUCUUCCUUAUCUCACCCAUGCACCUUCCCUGAGAUCUCCAUCCCCUAGAUGGAAAACAGAGCUAUGAAAACAGAGCCCUGAAAGAGACCAGCAAAGAUGGAAACUUAAUAUUUAACAAACCUGGUUUUGUGGCUAGUACAGCAAGGAUAAGCCAUUCAAUAAAUUCCACAGAGAUAAUUGGUUAUCUGUAAGUGAAAAUAAAAUAAAAUUGGAUCCCUACCUCACACUGCACACAAGAAUCCAUUCCAGAAGGGUUAGAGCAUUAAUGUGAGAAACAAAACUUUAAACUAUUAGAAGAAAACAUAGAAACAUAGGAGAAUGUGCCCAAAAUUAAGGGUGACAAAAAUACACUUGACUUCCAGAGAGAGAAGGCAUCUCAUCUGAAAUACUACACAUACCACAAAGUUGACUGUGCCCAGGACCCCCUCCUCUUCUUUGCUCUCCUACCCUUAUUCUCACAGCUCAGGUUGUAUGAUGUUGUGGGGGUGGUGACAGUGAGAGUAAUUUUGCUAACAGUUAGAAAAUUUGGGGGCUGGCUGAUUAGAAUGUGGGCUAGGAGAGAUCCUUUGUCCUCAGCUUUGGACCUUCAUCACCAAUUUCAAGUUCCAGGAACAGUUCCACUUCACAUCCUGUUACAUUGCCAUUAAAUGGGAAGAUGACUCCCUUGGAAAUGUGUCCAGGGAGUAUGCAAAGGAUCACUGUGCCAUUCUCACACCUCAGGUCUUUAGAAUAACUUGUUUCAUUUGUUUGCUUCUAUAAGGUUUUUAUGUCUUUUGAGGGGCAACAGAGGAUUAGAUUAUAGAUUUUUGUACUACUGAUUUAAAUUUUUGAACCAAUAUAGAUAUAAAUACAUGUUUUCAUUUUAACUGAUUUUUAACUUAUUUUACAUUGUGGUCACA
rnacentral:lncRNA from 1 species